CCUUAAAGAACCUGCCUUUGUAGUGCUCACACAGAUUGUCUGAUGAACGUAAAGAAGCAAGGCGUCUUGCGAUUGAGACUUCAGUGUCCCCUUCGUCUAGAGGCCCAGACACCGCCCUUUCACGGCGGUAACAGGGGUUCGAAUCCCCUAGGGGACGCCACUUGCUGGUUCGUGAGUGAAAGACGCGUGCCGAUGUAUCUCAAAACUCAUCUUCGGGUGACGUUUGAGAUAUUUGCUCUUUAAAAAUCUGGAUCAAGCUGAAAAUUGAAACGACACACAGUUAAUGUGUGUUCGAGUCUCUCAAAUUUUCGCAAUCUGAAGACAUCUUCGGGUUGUGA
rnacentral:misc_RNA from 1 species